UUUUUGUCAAGGUAGUUUUUGAUGAAGUUGAAGUCCAAUCAACUUGAAACUUAGUACACAUGUUCCCUAUGGUAUAAUCUUUUUAAUUUUAAUGCCAAAUUAGAAUUUUUACGCUAUUUCACAGUCCAUUGAGCAUGUAAAUUGAUUAUGCGAGUGGGGCAUCCGUGUACUUUGGACACAUCUUGUUUCAUAUCAGUCGUCCCUUUUUUUUCUUCAUUAUAAGUUAUCAAUAUCAUUUUUUCUGAUACUGUAAAUUUAGAAACUAUUGCGUGCAUUUAUCAUUGCAAUUUUUGUUAAAUUAACAAAAAUGCAAGUUUAAUAUUGAGAUUUUUGGAAAAGCUUCAUACAUACAUAUGUAUCAUGUAUCAGAAUAUGUACCAAUUAUCAGGUUGUCUGCAUGUUGAUAUCGUAAAAUAUCAGCUGCAAAACAUAAUAUGAAGCUCUUUGUUGAGUGAGCACAGCAAAUGAGAUAUAAAAAUCCUUCAUAUUGUGUUGAGCAGCUGAUAUUUUACAUGAUCAAGAUGCAGAUAACCUGAUAACUGUUUAAUCGGGCUUUAUUUGCGUCUUAUGUUAUUUUAGUUUCACCAUCAACUGGAAGUUGACUUGAUAAGUUUGGGUCAAACUUAUCAACGUCAGUUCAAACAUUAUGACAUAGCUGAUAUGUUUGGGUCAAACAGUAGUCACUGAAUAACGUCUUAAUAGUGUUGCAUUUCUAAUACAUUUUUUCAUCUUCUGUUCUUAUAUUACUCUGACCUAAUGCUGCUUUACUGCUCUGAUCGUGUACUGUAAUGGAAUCAACUUAGUUGAUGCUGUUUUUGAAGUUUACUGACCAGACCAUAUUAAAGGUUACUUGAAUUGUAUUUCUUACAAUUUCUGCAUUGUUCAUCUUUAAUAGUUGUAAACAAUUGUAUGUCUAUUUACAUCAGAAUAUUAAAUUCUUCUUUCUUGUCAGAUCAUGAAAUUUACAUUUAUAAUGCAUAGAUAGAAUUGCUUGCAUGAUUUUACAUGAUUUUAAUUUAUUUCUGUUUAAAUGCAUAACCCUUCAGAUGGAAGGAUUUUAAUAAUUUAUUUUUAAGAAGUACAAUGAUAGCUUUCCAUAGUGUGUAAAUAGCUUGUAAGAUAUGUAAUAUAUAAUGUAUAUACUGUAAAAUAAAUUUUGAAUUGUUAAGUGGUUUGCAAAAAAAGAUUUUUGCAACUGGUUUUUGAAAGGAAAAGAAAUAAAUGAAUUGAGACACAUUUAUUGUUGUAAUUUUUUUCUUGCCUACAACAAGUCACAGAAUUUGAAACAUAGAUGUUCUAGUAUGUCAGGAGCAAUUGGUUGUAAGCUUAAUGUAAACUCAUCAUAGAUACAAAAAAUAUUUGUGCCAGACAAUCAUUUUGUCUACAAAAGAUUCAUCAGUGAUGCUUGAAUAAAAAAAGUUAAAAAAAAAGGCCAUAAGUAACAAGUUAAAAAGCAUUAAGGACCAAAAGUUUCUGAAACUUUUGCGAAAUACAGUUAAGGUCAUCUAAUUCUGAGGUAGAAAACCCUAAGUAGUUCAAAAAUUGAAAUUAUGUAAACAGUUGAUUUAUAAUUAUGAACAAAUCAAUAAUAAUUCAUGUCAACACAGACAAG
rnacentral:lncRNA from 1 species